AGGUUGAAUUUUACAGACUGGUGUACACUAAAUGCAUUUCAGGUAAUGGCUGAGAAAGAGCAAGACAGGAUAAAGAUGCCAAGUCCUCACCGAGGUGAUGGGAGGAUAUGUUGGAACAAGAGAAACAAGAGAGCCAGGUCUUCAAGAUGCAAAGUUUGAGGAGAAAAUAGCAGGCCAUUAAAUCGCUGGAACUAGAUGUCAUAUCAAGGCUAGAGCUGGACAUUUGAGAGCAUUAACAGUGGAGUUGGAGAACAAUCACUAUAAUCACAUUGCAAUUACAAAG